UUAGAAAAAAAAUCUAGAACUCUCUGGGUUUUUCUCUCUCUGGUGCUCUCUCCUCCUCUCUCCGGCGUUCUCUUCUCCCUCGCCUCUCCCUUUCUCGCGCGUACAGUUCGGCGAUUUCUCGCCGGUGCCGGUCUCUCGCCGGCGAGUUCCCGGGCGGCGCCAUACUCCUCGGCGUUCCUCAACCUCUCCUUGUCGUCAUCGAAGCAGCAGCAGUUCUGGUUGUCACUUCUGUCAUCCCGUCCAGCCCCCUCACCGAUCGAGCUCAAGACCGGCGAAUCAAACCGAUUCUGCUUGCCGCUGCUGAUUACGGCUGUUCCAAGUGGUCCGAUCACUCUCAAGCCUUUCCUCGACGUGUCCCCAACCACUAGGAGAUCUUUAAGCAUUCUAUAAUCAUCCAUUGUAGGCUGUGGAGUUCGGUUUUGACGAAAUCAAGGCUUAAACGCACAAAGGUAUACUCCUCUAACCUGAGUUCGAUGAAACGAGGAUGCGUUAGGCGUCCGGGGCUAGAACUCGCCUUAGGCUUGCCAUGGAUAGAUGCUAAGGGAUGCUGCUGAUGUAUAUAUGGAGGAUGAUGAGUUGAUUGUGUGAUCGGAGGCUCGGAGUGAGCUGAUUGAAUGAUGGUUGCAUGUUCGGUU